ensembl:lncRNA
CCCCAACCCCUCACUUACACCCAGUCUCAACCCCAACCCCUCACUUACACCCAGUCUCAACCGCAAACACAGCCCUACAACAACAACUCAGUCCAGUCUCCUUCAGAUAAUACUUAUCUGGGUGUGUCUAUAUCCAUACCAAUGUGCGUAGAUGGACAUUUAUCUUUGUGUUUGAGCUAUUUUCCUAAGUAUGUUUGGGCAUAUUUCACAUCUAUUGGAGUGUAUAUGUUGUCAGGAUGGAGGGGUCAGUUCAUCAUUACAGAUCCUCUGAUUGAAGGAGCGAUGAGGAGGCUGGUGACUGGUCCAGUCAGUUUGAUGAUGGGUUGUUGAACAGCUCCCUCUGUUGGUGACUGGUCCAGUCAGUUUGAUGAUGGGCUGUAGAACAGCUCCCUCUGUUGGUGACUGGUCCAGUCAGUUUGAUGAUGGGCUGUAGAACAGCUCCCUCUGUUGGUGACUGGUCCAGUCAGUUUGAUGAUGGGUUGUAGAACAGCUCCCUCUGUUGGUGACUGGUCCAGUCAGUUUGAUGAUGGGCUGUAGAACAGCUCUGUUGGUGACUGGUCCAGUCAGUUUGAUGAUGGGCUGUAGAACAGCUCCCUCUGUUGGUGGCUGGUCCAGUCAGUUUGAUGAUGGGCUGUAGACACAGCUGGUCCAGUCCUCUGUGAUGGUGACUGGUCCAGUCAGUUUGAUGAUGGGCUGUAGAACAGCUCCCUCUGUUGGUGACUGGUCCAGUCAGUUUGAUGAUGGGCUGUAGAACAGCUCCCUCUGUUGGUGGCUGGUCCAUCCUGUAUGGGAUGAUGGGUUGUUGAACAGCUCCCUCUGUUGGUGGCUGGUCCAGUCAGUUUGAUGAUGGGCUGUAGAACAGCUCCCUCUGUUGGUGACUGGUCCAGUCAGUUUGAUGAUGGGUUGUUGAACAGCUCCCUCUGUUGGUGGCUGGUCCAGUCAGUUUGAUGAUGGGUUGUUGAACAGCUCCCUCUGUUGGUGGCUGGUCCAGUCUGUAUGGGAUGAUGGGUUGUUGAACAGCUCACUGUUAGUGGCUGGUCCAGUCUGUAUGGGAUGAUGGGUUGUUGAACAGCUCCCUCUGUUGGUGGCUGGUCCAGUCUGUAAGGGAUGAUGGGUUGUUGAACAGCUCCCUCUGUUGGUGGCUGGUCCAGUCUGUAAGGGAUGAUGGGUUGUUGAACAGCUCCCUCUGUUGGUGGCUGGUCCAGUCAGUUUGAUGAUG